rfam:Felis catus isolate Cinnamon breed Abyssinian chromosome C1, whole genome shotgun sequence.
GCCUGGGUGGCUCAGUUGGUUAAGCAUCUGACUUCCACUCAGGUCAUGAUCUCACAGUUUGUGGGUUUAAGCCCCAUGUUGGGCU